UACGAAGGGGGCUAGCGUUGCUCGGAAUCACUGGGCGUAAAGCGCACGUAGGCGGCUUCUAAGUCAGGGGUGAAAUCCUGGAGCUCAACUCCAGAACUGCCUUUGAUACUGGAGAGCUUGAGUCCGGAAGAGGUGAGUGGAACUCCGAGUGUAGAGGUGAAAUUCGUAGAUAUUCGGAAGAACACCAGUGGCGAAGGCGGCUCACUGGCCCGGUACGUGACGCUUAAGAGCGAAAGCGUGGGGAGCAAACAGG
rnacentral:rRNA from 1 species